rnacentral:rRNA from 1 species
AGAGUUUGAUCCUGGCUCAGGAUGAACGCUAGCGACAGGCUUAACACAUGCAAGUCGAGGGGCAGCGGGGAGUAGCAAUACUUCGCCGGCGACCGGCGCACGGGUGAGUAACACGUGUGCAACCAACCCCGUACCGGGAGAUAACCCGCGGAAACGUGGACUAACAUCCCAUAAUACUGGAGGAUCGCAUGAUCUUUCAUUUAAAAUUCCGGUGGUACGGGACGGGCACGCGCGACAUUAGGUAGUUGGCGGGUAAGGG